rnacentral:rRNA from 1 species
GCUUACGACCAUACCACGUUGAAUGCACGCCAUCCCGUCCGAUCUGGCAAGUUAAGCAACGUUGGGCCUGGUUAGUACUUAGGAUCGGAGACGGCUUGGGAAUCCCAGGUGUUGUAAGCU